rnacentral:rRNA from 1 species
AGUGAACGCUGGCGGUAGGCCUAACACAUGCAAGUCGAACGGCAGCACAGUAAGAGCUUGCUCUUACGGGUGGCGAGUGGCGGACGGGUGAGGAAUACAUCGGAAUCUACUUUUUCGUGGGGGAUAACGUAGGGAAACUUACGCUAAUACCGCAUACGACCUACGGGUGAAAGCAGGGGAUCUUCGGACCUUGCGCGAUUGAAUGAGCCGAUGUCGGAUUAGCUAGUUGGCGGGGUAAAGGCCCACCAAGGCGACGAUCCGUAGCUGGUCUGAGAGGAUGAUCAGCCACACUGGAACUAGGACACGGUCCAGACUCCUAAGGGAGGCAGCAGUGGGGAAUAUUGGACAAUGGGCGCAAGCCUGAUCCAGCCAUACCGCGUGGGUGAAGAAGGCCUUCGGGUUGUAAAGCCCUUUUGUUGGGAAAGAAAAGCAGCAGGUUAAUACCCCGCUGUUCUGACGUUACCCAAAGAAUAAGCACCGGCUAACUUCGUG